rnacentral:rRNA from 1 species
AACGAACGCUGGCGGCAGGCCUAACACAUGCAAGUCGAACGCCCCGCAAGGGGAGUGGCAGACGGGUGAGUAACACGUGGGAACAUGCCCUUUGGUUCGGAAUAACUCAGGGAAACUUGAGCUAAUACCGGAUAAGUCCGCGAGGAGAAAGAUUUAUCGCCGAAGGAUUGGCCCGCGUCUGAUUAGCUUGUUGGUGAGGUAAUGGCUCACCAAGGCGACGAUCCAUAGCUGGUCUGAGAGGAUGAUCAGCCACAUUGGGACUGAGACACGGCCCAAACUCCUACGGGAGGCAGCAGUGGGGAAUAUUGGACAAUGGGCGCAAGCCUGAUCCAGCCAUGCCGCGUGAGUGAUGAAGGCCCUAGGGUUGUAAAGCUCUUUCACCGGAGAAGAUAAUGACGGUAUCCGGAGAAGAAGCCCCGGCUAACUUCGUGCCAGCCGCCGCAGUAA